GCGUGAGCUAUAACUGCUUGAGUCACUAUCCACUGGAGAUGAGAGCUUUACCGUGUGAGGAGGAAACAGGUUAUUUGGUUUUUACAAGGGAAUUCUGCCACCUAUCUUGGCUGAAACCCCAAAAAGAGCAGUGAAGUUUUUCACCUUUGAGCAGUACAAGAAAUUGCUGGGAUAUGUGUCACUGUCACCAGCAUUGACAUUCGCCAUUGCUGGAUUGGGAUCUGGACUAACAGAAGCCAUUGUAGUUAACCCUUUUGAGGUAGUAAAAGUUGGCUUGCAAGCAAAUCGGAACACAUUUGCAGAGAGUUUUGCUCUUGUUGCCCAGGCUGGAGUGCAAUGGCGCAAUCUCGGCUCACCGCAACCUCCGUCUCCUGGGUUCAAGCUAUUCUCCUGCCUCAGCCUCCCUCGUAGCUGGGAUUACAGGCAUGCACCACCACACCCAGCUAAUUUUGUAUAUUUUUUGUAGAGACAGGGUUUCUCCAUGUUGGUCAGGCUGGUCUCGAACUCCUGACAUCAGGUGAUCCACCUGCCUUGGCCUCCCAGAGUGCUGGGAUUGCAGGCGUGAGCCACCACGCCCAGCCAUAAAAACUUAUUUUUAAUGUGCAUGUGAAACAAUGGGC
rnacentral:lncRNA from 1 species